rnacentral:lncRNA from 1 species
CUGCCUACUGUCCUUGGUUUCUCCUUAAAAAGUUAUUCUCAAAAUAAAAAUUCACUAUUUUUUCAAGACAUAUUUAUAUCCCAUAUUUAAUCUUGAAAUCAAAUAACAUAGCUUACUAUAGAAUACUAUUUAUCAAAAUUCUAAAAUUUUAUGUGAAAAACAUAUUAUUGUAUAUGCAAUGCCAUGUCAGUUUAUUACUUUUAGAUAAUAGUCAUAAAAAAAUUUACGAAAUUUUAAUUAAUGAAAUUAAUAAUUCCCAAGGGCUAAAAUUUUAAAAAUUGAAAAGUAUAUAAAUUGAAAAUGAUCAAAUUAAAUAAAAAUGACUAAAUACCAUAACUUGUGCAUAGUGAUGGACUAAAAAUAAAAUUUGACCUAAUAGAUUAAUUGUCAUUGUUUGGAUCGGAAUUGGAAUUUCAGAAUUCGAAAAGUAGAGGGACUAAGACUGACAAAUUGAAGUACAUACAUUAAGGCUUUGCUGGUAGAGUGGAAAGAUAAUUGGAAAGAUGAAAAGAAAAUUAUUUUUCUUUCCAUAGGUGUGCUUGGUAGGAAAGGUGAAAAAAUGAAAAGAAAAUGAAACAUUUGAAAAAUGCAUAAUUUUGAAUUAACAUACACAUCUCACUCAUUUUCUCUCCUCUUAUCCUUCCAAUUUGGAAAUAUUGGUUUUUAAGCAUUAGGAUGGAAAAUGUAUAAUUUUAAACUAACACACAUAUCUCUCUCAUUUUCUCUCACCUCAUGGUUCCAAUUUGGAAGGAUUGGUUUUUAAGCAUUCACUUUUCCACCCAACCAAACCGAUCCGACAUUUACAAUUUACACAUAGUACAAGUACUAACAACAAAAUUUGACAAAAAAAACGUGUCAUUAUGAAUCUAGAUUUUAGCUUGGUUCAUUUAAGCAAUCACCUUAAAUAUGAAUUAACUUGAAGUUUCAACAUCUGCAACACCUUCCCAUAUCCGCAUAAAAGUAUUGGGUAUUGGGAAUAUGAGAUAAGAGUCAAGUUGAUCACUUUUGUUGGGUUAUGAAUCUAGUUUCUCCCUCACUCUCUUGAAGACAUAUUUUCACAAGGAAAAUAUGAAUAAUGGAGCAAGAGAAAAACUAGAUUCUAAGCCAAUUAAAGUGCAUAUAUAAGAGAUAUUAACUUGGUUCGUUUAAGCAAUCAUCUUAAAUAUGAAAGUUUCAACAUCUAUAAUACCUUCUCGUACCCGUAUAAAAAUAUUGGGAAUAUGAGAUGAGAUUCAAGUUGAUCACUUAUGUUGGGUUAUGAAUCUAGUCUUUCCCUUACUCUCUUGAAGACAUAUUUUCACAAGGAAAAUAUGAUAAUGGAGUAAGAGAGAAACUAGAUUCAUAAGCCAAUUAAAGUGCAUAUAUAAGAGCUAUUGAACUUAGAAACAUAUGUAUGUAUUAUAAAGGUUAAGCUAGGAUGUGAAAAAUAUAAAAGGAGAAGAAGUAAAAUUAAGGAAACUGAUAGGCUAUUAUUUGGCAAUGCUCCUAUAUUUCUAUUUCAA